UACGUAGGGGGCUAGCGUUGUCCGGAUUUAUUGGGCGUAAAGAGCGUGUAGGCGGCCAGGUAGGUCUGCUGUGAAAACUCGAGGCUCAACCUCGAGACGUCGGCGGAAACCAUCUGGCUAGAGUCCGGAAGAGGAGAGUGGAAUUCCUGGUGUAGCGGUGAAAUGCGCAGAUAUCAGGAAGAACACCCGUGGCGAAGGCGGCUCUCUGGGACGGUACUGACGCUGAGAAGCGAAAGCAUGGGGAGCGAACAGG
rnacentral:rRNA from 1 species